rnacentral:rRNA from 1 species
AACGUAGGAGACAAACGUUAUCCGGAGUUACUGGGCGUAAAGGGCGUGUAGGUGGUUUCGUAAGUCUGGCGUGAAAUAUCUCGGCUUAACCGAGGCAGGUCGUCGGAUACUGCGGGACUAGAGGACGGUAGAGGCGUGUGGAAUUCCGGGUGUAGUGGUGAAAUGCGUAGAUAUCCGGAGGAACACCAGUGGCGAAAGCGGCCACCUGGACUGCACCUGACGCUGACACGCGAAAGCUAGGGGAGCGAACGGG